ACUCAAAGGAAUAGACGGGGACCCGCACAAGCAGCGGAGCGUGUGGUUUAAUUCGAUGCGACGCGAAUAACCUUACCAAGGCUUGACAUCUAUUCGCAACUCCCCGAAAGGGGGGCCUCCGCAAGGACGGAUAGACAGAUGCUGCAUGGCUGUCGUCAGCUCGUGUCGUGAGAUGUUGGGUUAAGUCCCGCAACGAGCGCAACCCUUGUCCUUAGUUGCAUAUCUAAGGAGACCGCCGGAAACAAACCGGAGGAAGGUGGGGAUGAGGUCAAGUCCGCAUGGCUCUUACGUCUUGGGCUACACACACGCUACAAUGGCCGUCACAGUGAGAAGCCACCUCGCAAGGGGGAGCAGACCUACAAAGACGGCCCCAGUUCAGAUUGCACUCUGCAACCCGAGUGCAUGAAGUCGGAGUUGCUAGUAACCGCGUGUCAGCAUAGCGCGGUGAAUAUGUUCCCGGGUCUUGUACACACCGCCCGU
rnacentral:rRNA from 1 species